AAUCAACGCUGGCGGCGUGCCUAACACAUGCAAGUCGAACGCGAAAGGGGCUUCGGUCCUGAGUAGAGUGGCGUCCGGGUGAGUAACGCGUGGGUAAUCUACCCUUGGGUGGGGAAGUAACCAGUCGAAAGAUUGGCUAAUACCGCAUAAUGCAGCGGCUCGACAUCGAGACAGUUGUUAAAGCAGCAAUGCGCCAGAGGAGGAGCCUGCGUCUGAUUAGCUUGUUGGCGGGGUAACGGCCCACCAAGGCUACGAUCAGUAGCUGGUCUGAGAGGACGGCCAGCCACAAUGGCACUGAACACGGGCCAUACUCCUACGGGAGGCAGCAGUGGGGUAAUUUUUGCGCAAUGGGCGAAAGCCUGACGCAGCAACGCCGCGUGAAGGAUGAAAUCCUUCGGGAUGUAAACUUCGCAAAUAUGGGAAGAACACAAUGACGGUACCAUAUGUAA
rnacentral:rRNA from 1 species